GCACAAGCAGCGGAGCGUGUGGUUUAAUUCGAUGCUACACGAAGAACCUUACCAGGGUUUGACAUACAAGUAGUAGGGAAGGAAACUGGACCGACCUUCGGGGAGCUUGUACAGGUGCUGCACGGCUGUCGUCAGCUCGUGUCGUGAGAUGUUCGGUUAAGUCCGCUAACGAGCGCAACCCUCGCUGUGUGUUAUAUGUGUCACACAGGACUGCUGGUAUUAAGCCGGAGGAAGGUGGGACGACGUCAAGUCAGCAUGACCUUUAUAUCCAGGGCUACACACACGCUACAAUGGUCAGUACAAUGGGUUGCCAAGCCGCGAGGCGGAGCCAAUCCUAAAAAGCUGGCCUCAGUUCAGAUUGCAGUCUGAAACUCGACUGCAUGAAGUUGGAAUCGCUAGUAAUCGUGGAUCAGCCAAGCCGCGGUGAAUACGUUCCCGGGCCUU
rnacentral:rRNA from 1 species